rnacentral:lncRNA from 1 species
AUGGCACCGUUGGUCAUCCGCUGGUGCUGGAAGCCCUUGGCACUGAGGUGGGGGAGGCAGAGGGUCAGUGCCACCCCCUGGAGGCUUCCACAGCCAGCAGAGGCAGCUCCCACCCCACCAGACUCACCCUUUAAUUCUCCACUUGUACCAGACAAAAGCCACCACGGUGAGGAGGAUGAGGAGCAGCAGGAUGGGGAUGACGAUGGAAGCUGUUCCUGCGGGAGGAAGGCACGGGAACACUCAGAGCCUGGGGGGGGGGGGGGACAGUGCCCAUAUGGGGCAGCCCGGGCUGGCCCUGGCCCCCCACUUCCACCAGAGAAUGGGGCUCAGGAGUCGCUCUGGGGCAGCCCUGGGUCACCAACAAACCCCUGGGUGUGGUGUGGCACGGAAGGGGGGUCACCCAUUGCCCCCCACUUCAUUUCCCCACCAACAAACUGCCCCCCAGCAAACCCCCCGGGUGUGGCGUGGCACGGAAGGGGGGUCACCCACUGCCCCCCAUUUAAUUUACCCAUCAUAAACUGCUCAAGAAACCCCCCGGGUGUGGCGUGGCACGGAAGGGGGGUCACCCACUUCAUCUGCUCACCAACAAACUGCCCCCCAACAAACCCCCUGGGUGUGGUGUGGCACAGAAGGGGGGUCACCCAUUGCCCCCCACUUCAUUUCCCCACCAAAAAACUGCCCCCCAGCAAACCCCCCGGGUGUGGCAUGGCACGGAAAUGGGGUCACCCACUGCCCCCCACUUCAUUUCCCCACCAACAAACUGCCCCCCAGCAAACCCCCCCGGGUGUGGCGUGGCACGGAAGGGGGGUCACCCACUGCCCCCCACUUACGGCUGCUCUGCUGCUCGCCCACGAUGAAAUCCUCGCAGCGUGUGCCCGUCAUCCCCGCGGGACACCUGGGAGCGCAGGGAGAGCAGCAGGAUUAGCGGGGCAGGGAGGGAGGGAGGGAGGGAGGGAGGGCUGGGCACAGACCUGGGGUCAGGCUGGGGUGGGGGCACACAGAUCGGGGUGUGUCAGUGACGUCUCGGGGGGCAAACAGCCCGCCUGCCCCCCCCCCCGCGCCCCCCGGCCCCCUCCUCACUUACAGGCACUCGGGCAGCUGAGUCUUGUCGCUGACGGAGCAGGUCCCGCCGUGCAGGCAGUAAUUGUCACAGGUCAGGCAGCUCGGGGCUAUCUUCCCAUCGGGGCAGCUGGGGGGCACAGAGGAUCGACCCCAUGGGAACCCCACGGCUGCCCUGUGCCCCCCUCCUGGUGUUCUGUGCCCCCCCAGCCCCUCGGGACUCGGCUGUUGGCUCAUCCCACCCGCUGGGACACCUGGAUGGGCUCUGGGGAGACACUGAGACACAUCCCCCUCCUCCUGCCAGGACCACCAGGACCACCCUGGAUUUAUCUGCCCUGA